rnacentral:rRNA from 1 species
UACAGAGGUCUCAAGCGUUGUUCGGAUUCAUUGGGCGUAAAGGGUGCGUAGGUGGCGGGGUAAGUCAGGUGUGAAAUUUCGGAGCUCAACUCCGAAACUGCAUUUGAUACUGCCUUGCCUGAGGACUGGAGAGGAGACUGGAAUUCACGGUGUAGCAGUGAAAUGCGUAGAUAUCGUGAGGAAGACCAGUGGCGAAGGCGGGUCUCUGGACAGUUCCUGACACUGAGGCACGAAGGCCAGGGGAGCAAACGGG